rnacentral:hammerhead_ribozyme from 1 species
GUACUCCUGAAGAGUCCCAAACUAGGACGAAACGGCUGUCCAGUAC